rnacentral:lncRNA from 1 species
UCCUCUGCUUCUUGAUCCAAGCCAGACAGCCGUGAGGAUCUUCCACUAGUGCAUCCGCUUGAGAUGUAGAUGAUAACAACGCGAGAGGACCAAUAUUCAGAUAACGUUUGAACUCCGACUUGAGGUUAUUCGUCAGUGUAUUAUCUAGCUCUUCAAAUGAAUUGAUGAAAACCGCAUCGGCACGAGGUAAAGCAAGACCCAUUUUAUGCAACGUGUCUGAAAAAACAGAGUCUAAGUUCCCAAACACAACUCCUUCCGGUGUGUCUUUGACUCUGAUCAUCUCCAUUCCAGAGAUAAACCCUAGUGUCUCCUCCAUACACCCAUCUACUUUUGUAAAAAAGCAAUCAAAAUCAUUACCACAAAUAUACAUAUAAUCACUGCACAUUCUUCAGAAUUCACAAUUUUAGUAACCAUUCCUUUUUUAACUAAAUAACUAAUUUUCUUUUAACGGCUAAGGACAAAAAAAACACAAGUGGUAGUUUGGUUUUUUAUUUUUUAGUUAUUACCAUUCACACGUACGGAUUGUCUGAUGAGAUCUGUGUAGAGAUGAACAGACAGCGAGUUUGGUCCGGCUGUCCAAAACGCAACCCAUGACGCCUUCAUCUCCGCCGCCAUAUCCGACGCGAACCAGAAGAACGCAUCCGUCAACAUGCACGUCACUUUCUUACCGGCGUCAUUCUCCGCCGACGCGAUCGCUUCCCGGAAACUCUCCAGCGCCGCUACGAGAAACAGCUCGAUCGCCUCCUGUGGUCUCCCGGAGAACACGUAUCCCUCCGGGACGCCGUCAGCGACGUCGUGGACUCGGAUGUUCGAUGGGAGAUCUGAGGGGAAUAACGAGGAGUUGGAUUGGACGGUGUUGAAGAAGGAGAAGAGUGUGGAGGGAGAGGCGGAGGCGAGACGGCGCGUGACGGAGAGGAGAGGAGCGGCGUGAGUGCCGAAGGGGAAAGCGAGGACGGCUACGUGGGAGUCUGUGGUUGGCUGGUCGGUGUUGGCCAUGGUGGGAGAGUACAAUGAAGGAGACAAGAGAGAGAGAGAUGAGAGAUAAUGAUAAAUAGGAGAAUGGAAUGGCUGAGGAUGAACCACCGAGCAAGUAUAAAGCUCGUGAUGGUGGUUGGUUGGUAAUGGUAACACACACUCUCUCUCUUUCUCUCUCUCGUUGAACUUUCUUAUAUGUUUGACGUAACACAAAUAUAUCAUAUUAUAUAUUGGAUAGACUUUUCGACAUUUUUUGUUAUUUCGAAAUUGGUCAAAAGAACAAGAUAUUAAUUUCCAUGUUAGUGUAAUGAUUUUGUAAAAGGACAUGUUUCUUCGUUUGUGCAUAUUAUAUUUUUCGUAAAAACUAUUAUACGAUUUUCAUUUAACAGGAGAUUUGUUAUCUAUUUUUAGUAGGAAAUCGAAUACUUUAAACCAAAAAAAGAUGAUUAUCAUUUCAGAAAAGGAAAUGAAAUGUCGGUGGUAGGAUAAGUAGCAUUCAGAGUACGUAGUUAAUGUUGAGUUUCUCGAUGAAAUGUUACUGUGUUUGGUAUGGCCCCCUCCAUGAUAAAAUAAAUAGGAGUACGUAGUGGUAGGUAAAAUUCGUGGUUCACAUAUCUCGUAAAGGCUCUGAUGAUCAGAUGGUGAUAUAUGUGUGUGAUUACGUUAGAAACCCAAACCCUAAUUGCAUAUUUGUCGGAUGCUGAAUUAAAUUCGAAAUAAAUUAUAUGAUUUGGGCCGGAAGCGUAUGUAUUGAUACUUUCGUUUUAUAUAACGGGAUGCCGGUAAUACUAUUAAAAUGUGGCAUACACGUGUUGUUUGUUUGGUAGUUACAAACAUAAGUAAAUGUUUUUUUUUGUAGGUAACAGAUCUCAUAUUAUGACAUUCAGUAAUUGUCUUGGAGUACUCUCUACCUUAAUUCUCGUUUCACUUGUGUAGUUAGAGUAAGAGCAACCCCAUUGAGGGUUUCUAGUCUAGGAUAUCUAAAAGUACAUUUAUAUGUAUGUAUAUAUUACAUAAGUGUGUAAUUGCGGAGUUUUAAGUUUUACGGAAACGUAAUCCAAAACAAUAUAUUUUGAAUUAUGUUUUCCGUAAAUAUUAGAACCCCGCAGUUACAUACACUUAUAUAUAUACAUUUUUACAUACUUUUUUUUUUGGACAACUAUCAAUGGAGUUGCUCUAACAGGAUGAGCAGAACAAAAAGCAUGUGUAUGGGUUCAAUUAUGUGAGAGUCUCUAGCUAUAAAUAGUAAGAAAAAAAAGUCUGCAAAAGAGAUAAAAAAAGCAAUAACCAGCUCUUUUAUAUAUGAAUAUUCUGGUGGGAAGACUUGUUCCUGAAAUCCUUUGAAUCUCUUUCAAAUGAUCUCCUCCAAAUCAACCUUCUGUCGCCUGGUCUUCUCUUCGAAUUCUUAUUUUCUCUCCUUUUCUUCCAGAAGAAGUCGGUGGAUGGCUGGUCGGUGUUGGCCAUGGUGAUUGGUGAGUACAGUGAAGGAGACAAGGCAGUAGGGAGAUGAGAUAGUAAUAAAUAAGAAGAUGGAAUGGCUGAGGAUGAACCACCGAGCAAGUAUUGUGAUGGUGGUUGGUAACACUCUCUCGUUGCACUUUCUUAUGUUUGACGUGACAAAAUAUAUCAUAUUAUAUAGAGUUUAUAUGAAAUUUUGUUAUUUCAAAUUGGUUAAACCCCUUCCCCCCGAAAGGAGAGUAUAUACCCGUUGAAAAAGAUUAUCCAGAUUCUGAAAAUGUUAUGAGACUGAACCGGCAACCGCACUUCGUGCUAGAAUAGCUAGGGAGCGGCUAUUUACGAGAAUAAACUGACAGCCUUUUUUAUGGAAGAGAAAGAAAGAACAAGAGUAGUGUAUUGAUUUUGAAAAGGGACAUGUUUCUUCGUUUGUACAAAUAUUUUUCAUAACAGGAGAUUUGUAUACUACUUUAAGUAAUCAAUCGAAUAUUUUAAACUAAAAGAGUAACUAUCAUUUCAAAAACGGAAAUGAAAUGUUGGUAGAAUGAGUACGUAGUAAUGUUAAGUUUCUCGAUGAAAUGUUGCUGCGUUUUGGUAUGACCCCUCUAUGAUAAAACAAUAUAAAAAUAAAUAGGAGUACGUAACUAGUAGUAUGUUGUUGCGGUAGGUAAAAUUAGUGGUUCGUAAUCACUUGGAACUUCUCGUAAAUUUAGUGUGUUAUUAUUGCCUUAUUGGUUCCUCUGAUAUAGUAUAUACAUUCUCGUUUUCGUUGCUUGUAACAUGUUUGCUGACAGGUUCGAACCUUAUUACGCAGGAUUCAGUGUUGAGAAAGUUGAGUACAAAAAUGUGAUGAUCACGGUUUGGGAUGUUAGUGGCCAAGAGAAACUGAUCAAACCUCUUUGGAGGCAUUACUUUAAUAACACUUAUGGACUUGUCACUUGUACGUUGUGUAUAGCUUCUCUUGCCUUUUCUGUGUUCUAUCAAAGACCAUAAUAUAUAUAUUUUUUCGUUUUUUAAUUUUGAGAAUCGAUCAACCUUAUGAUCCAAAAAUCUACACACAAACAACAGAAACUUCAUAAAACUAAUACAGUGAAAGAUGAUCCAAGAACAUCUCGUCUUAGAACAAACUGUGAUGACCCAAAUCCUAACCCAAAGAAUUCAGGUCGAAGCCCAAAUCCAUUCCUAGAGGCCCAAGGUAUUUUUUUUAUAAAAACCCACAUUUAUCCACUUUAGUUCCUCACAAACUUUAUGCAAAAGAAGAAGAAGAGUUAGAGAGAGAGUGAGCUAAGAGAAGAGGUGUGAUCUUUUACAGUGAGUGGGUCGCCGGAGCUCGUCGCCGGAGCAACCGUGUACCGUGAUCACGUUCAGCUCGACACCACCGUUCGCAACCCUAGGUAACCACCGCAAAACCGCCAUGCAUUUAGUUCAGUUUCGGCCGUUUUAGUAAAUCGCCCAUAACUUCCUAACCACUGCGAAUUUCGUGCAUGCAAGACCACCAUCGUGUUCCUCUCGUCGAGACGAAGCCGUAGACACCAACCACGCCGCAAUCGGAGCCCGGACGAAACCGCUAGAGCCUCCCGAAGUUUCGCCUCUGCACGAGCGUGAAACGCACGCAAUCCGUUCAGUCUCUGAUCCCCAAAGAACGGCCUGCAAAUCAUCGGCACACCUCCGGAAACACUCUCCAACACGGAGUUCCAUCCACAAUGCGUCACAAACACACCCGUUGCUUCGUGUUUCAACAGCUCAACUUGUGGAGCCCAUGGAACCACUAUCCCUUGCUCUCUUGUCCGUUCCAGAAACCCUUUUGGUAACUGAACCAUGUUCUUCUCCUUAAGCGACCAAACAAACGGCACUUUGCUCGACUCCAACCCUUCCGCUAUCGCCACAAGCUCUCCUGGAGACGGCGUCAUGACUGUACCAAAGCUAAUGUACGCUACAGAAGCAGUCCUCUGUUUCUUGAUCCAAGCCAAACAGCCGUGAGGAUCGUCCACUAGUGUAGUAUCUGAUUGUGAUGCAGAUGAUAACAACGCGAGAGGUCCAAUAUUUAGAUAGCGUUUGAACUCCGACUUGAGGUUAUUCGUCAGUGUAUUAUCUAGCUCUUCAAAUGAAUUGAUCAAAACCGCAUCGGCACGAGGUAAAGCAAGACCCAUUUUAUGCAACGUGUCUGAAAAAACAGAGUCUAAGUUCCCAAACACAACUCCUUCCGGUGUGUCUUUGACUCUGAUCAUCUCCAUUCCAGAGAUAAACCCUAGUGUCUCC